UACGUAGGGCGCAAGCGUUAUCCGGAAUUAUUGGGCGUAAAGAGCUCGUAGGCGGUUUGUCGCGUCUGCUGUGAAAAGACCGGGGGCUCAACUCCGGUUCUGCAGUGGGUACGGGCAGACUAGAGUGCAGUAGGGGGGAGACUGGAAUUCCUGGUGUUAGCGGUGAAAAUGCGCAGAUAUCAGGAGGAACACCGAUGGCGAAGGCAGGUCUCUGGGCUGUAACUACGUGAGGAGCGAAA
rnacentral:rRNA from 1 species